rnacentral:lncRNA from 1 species
AACACUCUUUUACAUUAAAAACAACUAACUAAAUUUGUAAAUCAAACUAAACCCACUAAAAUCUGUUGUAGCAAGAAGCUAAUAUACAUUUUAUUGACUCUUUCAUAGUCCACAAACUUGAUCUUUCUCAAAGCAUGAACACUUAAAGCAUUUUUAUGCAAAAGCAGAGACAAUAUAUAUCAUAAAUAAACAUUAGAAAAACCAUUUAUCUAUCUUUAAUUAUGUUUUUUUGUUUUCCACUCAAACAUAUUACCAUAAAUUCGUAUCAAAACACAGCAAAGUGGUACUACUCAAAACAAGUCUCAUGGCACGAACUGAUCUUCGCUCUGUUGCUCCUCCUCAGUCUGGUUUCCGUUGCCGUAAUUACCCCUGUUAUUGUACCAGUUUUUCGAGUCCACAACCCUAAGGGUUUCCAUACUGGUUCUGGUUGUAGUUGCUCUCGCUGCUCCGGUCGUAGUAAUACUUGCCGUUCAAAAACCUAGCGUUACUCAUCCCCUGCUUCUCAAAAUUGUAGUAGUUGUUGUAGAUCGGGAGCUCUGAUUCCUUCACAUUGUUGCUGUUGGAGCUGGCGACUUUGCUAAAGAAUUGGCUGUCUCUGGCUUGAGCUUGGAGAGAGAAGAGGAUGAGAGAGAAGAGGAAGAGGAGAGAGAAGAAUUUGGGAGGAGGAGGAGCCAUGAGUGGCAAUUGUUGUGGGAGGCAACUGUUGUGAAGUGAGAAUUGUGGGUGUGUUGUAGUGCAGGGAGAGCUAGUGGGUAGUGCAUUGUUUAUAUAGAGGACCUUUUUUCUUUUUCUCCACCAAUUUUUUCAACUCAUUAGGUGCAAAAUGGGGUGGAGGAUGAGUGAUGGUUUCUGGUCCCCCACUUUGGAUACAAUUGAGCACUUUGCUCCUUUUUCCAGUUAGUAAGUUUUUUUUUUUCUUCGUUAAGACUAUUUGAAUUGUUUGGAAUGAGAUCAUUUCCAAAUCUUUGCCUCCAGAGUAGAAGGAUUCGGAAAUUUAGACCAUUUGAUUUAAAUUUUACGGUUCUAUGAACCCAUUUUACUGGCCUAACUCACGCACAAACUCACACCCUCGUCUCCUCAUCUCUCUCUCUCGAAUGGCCUGGUUUUUCAAGCCCAUCUACUCAUGAGGUAGAGAUCUGAAGAUGAUCUAAUUUCGAAUUGUUUAGCUUUAGACUCUCUUUCAUCGAUUAUUCAUGUUAAAAAUUGAUCGCAUCCCCAUUAUCCACGUUUCCAUUUUAAUUUUAUUUACAAAAACCUAUCAUUUGGCUCUGAACUUGUUUUAUAAGAGGAGAAAAACUUAAGUAGAGCCACCUCAAUAACGUCAUCUGUAAAAUAUUUCUCACAAAAGUAUAAAUUCUCUUUGUAUUUUAGUGUCCACCCAACCUCAUAUUAAUGUGAGAAAUGCACUAGUAAAACAGCACUACCGAAGUUUUUCUUCUAUUUUUUUUGGUAAAAGAAGUUUUUCUUCUUUAAUACGGUGUAAUAAGCAUUUGCUAACAGAAAUUUUCUUAUGACCAUUGAUUAUUCUUUCAUUCUAAGCAAGCCGAUUAUAUGAUAAGAUGAAUGAGAACAACAACAACCCAGCUAACACAAUUAAUAAG